AUCUUUUUGUAGUUCAUAAGCGUGAUGAUUGGGUGUUCAUGCUUUUGUGUGAGAUGUACAACUUUGGCACAUUAUCCGUCUGAUG
ensembl:snoRNA